UACGUGGGGUGCAAACGUUGCUCGGAAUUAUUGGGCGUAAAGCGCGCGUAGGCGGUUACUCAAGUCGGAUGUGAAAGCCCUCGGCUUAACUGAGGAAGUGCACCCGAAACUGAGUAGCUAGAGUACCAAAGAGGGUCGCGGAAUUCCCGGUGUAGAGGUGAAAUUCGUAGAUAUCGGGAGGAACACCGGUGGCGAAGGCGGCGACCUGGGUGGAUACUGACGCUGAGGCGCGAAAGCGUGGGGAGCAAACAGG
rnacentral:rRNA from 1 species